rnacentral:rRNA from 1 species
UAGCUACCACUUCUACGGAGGGCAGCAGGCGCGCAAAUUGCCCAAUGUCAAAAAAAAACGAUGAGGCAGCAAAAAGAAAUAGAGCCGACAGUGCUUCAUGCAUUGUCGUUUUCAAUGGGGGAUAUUUAAACCCAUCCAAAAUCG